rnacentral:rRNA from 1 species
CGGGAACUGAAAUGGGUGACGCUGGCGGCGGGCCUACCUGCUCUCGAGCGCAGGUGACGUGCUGGCCCCUUCUCUGGGCGGUCGACGGAUGGGUCGGGCUUAGGAUGCUGCCUAUUUAUGGAACCUGCCCUCCCGUCUGGAAUGCUCAUACCGAAUCCGUCCUACGACAGAAAGGGUGGUAUCUUCGGACGUUGCGCUAAUGAAUGGCCCUCCGUCGGAUUCUGGGUUGGCUUUGCGGUGGCCUACCUAGUUGGUGUCUUAAUGGCCCACCGAGAGGAUGAUCCGCCACCCUGCUACUGAGACGAUCCCCCAACUCGUACCUGAGGCACCGCCGGGACACCUUCGACAGGGGGGGAUACCCUGUCCUCCCCAUGGGACGUGUGUCUGAAAGGCCUUAUGGUUGUGAACCAUUUUAGCCUACGAGGAGGAUACUGAUAUUAAAACUCAAGAACAGUUGACGUUACUCGCGGAGUAACCUCGGCGUAACUCUGUGCCAACGCCCGGGGUAAUAAAGAGCGUGCGAGCGUUAUAAUAGAUUUACUGGGCGUAAAGCGUGCGUAUUAUUUCUUUUUAAGUCGCGAUGUGAGAUCCCUCAUAUUAAUUAGGUGAAUGCCUUCGACUCUGCGAAGCUGGGCCUAUUGGGAAACUGUGAGUAUAUGUCCAUGUGUAACGAGAGAAGUACUUCAUAGAUCUAGGAGGUAAUACCGCGUGGCAGAUGUGGACGAACUGGCACUGGUAGUGGGCGCUGCUGUACGCCUAUAUGUGGCAGCUAAAGGCGCAUAAGAUGCGCUGGGUAAACCAUGAUGUAAUCCAUGUCUACUCCUCGCUUGAAGCAUGGGUGCUUUGUUGGUGGCAGGCUUAUCCCCCUAUUAUGGCUGCAGGUACGCAUGAGCGCUCCUUCAGGACGAGAC